UACGUAUGGGGCAAGCGUUAUCCGGAUUCAUUGGGCGUAAAGAGCGCGUAGGCGGUUUGUUAAGCGAGAUGUGAAAACAGGGGGCUCAACCCGCUGCCUGCAUCUCGAACUGGCAGACUUGAGUCUGGUAGAGGAAGGUGGAAUUCCUAGUGUAGCGGUGAAAUGCGCAGAUAUUAGGAGGAACACCAGUGGCGAGGGCGGCUUUCUGGGCCACGACUGACGCUGAGGCGCGAAAGCUAGGGGAGCAAACAGG
rnacentral:rRNA from 1 species